rnacentral:rRNA from 1 species
UACGGAGGGUCCGAGCGUUAUCCGGAAUUAUUGGGUUUAAAGGGUCCGUAGGCGGGCCGAUAAGUCAGAGGUGAAAUCCCGUCGCUCAACGAUGGAACUGCCUUUGAUACUGUCGGUCUUGAGUCAUGGUGAAGUUGGCGGAAUAUGUAGUGUAGCGGUGAAAUGCAUAGAUAUUACAUAGAACACCGAUUGCGAAGGCAGCUGACUAACCAUGUACUGACGCUGAUGGACGAAAGCGUGGGGAGCGAACAGG